ACGAUAUCUCCAAACAAUCGCUACCCCCCUCGCCCAAAUCACUGCAAGCCACGAUGUACGAUCCUCGUCUUUCCAGAUCGAUCCAUAGAAAAACUGCGCCGCCGACUCUCCUGUACUGCUCGACUCUACCGGAUGCGCGCCCUCGCGCCCGGCGCUUCGAACCUCAAAUCUUUCGCAUCGCAUCAUUAGAGCAGCCCAAUCGAUGUCUCCUGUGCUCCAUCAACCAAUCUCAUGAUUUCUACAUCCGGCUGGAAAGGUCAUAGCACGUACUCCUUGCCCUUCAUCUUGAAGCUGUAGUGAUUGGUUCGCCUGUUGUGGGUGACCCCGCAAUCGAAUUGCCAAGGUCUUCCUAAGAGGAGAUGGCACACGGUCAUAGGAACCACAUCACACUCCAAGGUGUCUUCGUAUGCGCCAAUCUUGAAGGAGACUUGAACGGUUUACACAAAGAGGGAGAAUACCGGCAGCUGGAAUUCUGGACC